UUGGCCGCAAUUUUACACACCCCAAGGUCUCGCAAAUCAGGUUGCGGUCCUCGUACCAACCCUGGCCAUGUUCGGUUCGGUUGCCUAUCGCCUCCUCCUGCUCCUCUUCCGCCGCCGCCGCUGCCGCUGCUCCCUAGGUGAACCCGUCGUCGCCUCGCCUGGGCCCACAACGCCCUCCUCCGCCUGUGAGCAAGGCACCCCUCUCAGUCUUGUGCAGGGCGAGUUGCUGCCAUGGCGGUUGUUUUUUGCGGGCACGAGCUCUGCCCGCCUCCAGUCUUGGAUGUCGUGGCCAGGUGCCUACUUCCCCCUCCCUCCCUCCACUCGAGACUCCACGUCGCCGCCACACGACACUACGCAUCCGCUCUUCUUCCUCCCCUCGUCUCGGCGGCUAGCGUCCGCUCCCUCGACGCCUCCGUCCAUGCCCGGCUCCAGCACUCGCUGGCUCCCCGAGGGAGUUGAAUGAAGAAAGGAAGAUCAAGGAUUGAAGCAGUUUACGCAUGGCCCUGAGAUUGCAUUAACUCUUUCUCAGAAUGAUAUUGAGCUCCUGGCCUUCCUGUUGGCCAUACGAGAAUGAGGUGUAUAGGUAGAAGUCCAAGAGAAACAUCCAUAGCCGGUUGGGGAUGUCCGGUUCUGAGCUGCCACAUAGCUGAUGGGAUUUCAAGAUGGCAUGACAGCUGCUCGUGCAUAAUCAGGUACUUGUUCUUCUGAUUCUUAGCUUUUGUAGGCUCGGAGGAGAUGGAGGAUGGACUAAUUCAGAUUUGACUGGGUGCAUACAUCUUUAUUAUCAUAAAAUGGUGGUUGAAAUGGGUUUUCAGGUCAAGCCAAUGGGGGAUUUAUUAGGAGUAAAUGUACGUAUGAGAACUACUAUUUACAAUAAUUUAAUUUGUGGAGGAUGCCACAGUGUGUAUGUUUACAAUUCCACUCCCACAGAGGAAAUGGAUCAUGACAUCGGCCUUUGUCAUAUUCUCUGAAGCGUUGUAUUCUUGAUGUCAGAUUGUUGAGUGUUAGAGGUCAAUGGAUAGGGAUGUAAGUCUCAUAUUUUGGGUUAUUGGUCCUUCCAGAACUUGAUAAAAGAAACUAAAGUGGCAUGCCACCUGAUUAAUUUAGCAUUUAGGUGGAGAACUGAAUCUUCUGAAAUCAAUGUAUGGUGUGCUGACAUUCUCAAUACUGAAUAGCACUGGAUCUGAUGUUUUCAAUUUUUUCACCAAUUUAAAGACACUUCUAUGCUCUCCAUCAAGGAUUUCCCUGUUUUGCUGCAUUCAUUAUAUACUUAUAAGAAGGGAAUUUUAUAGUAAAAAGUCACAAGUUAUAACAAUUUAAGAGGCUACAACUUUCUGGAGCUUUACAUCCUUGUUAUGGUUCUAUAAGUCAGGUUUUUUUAAAUCUUAGAGAUUGAGAAAGAAAAGACUAAUGUGUUUUCACUUUAUUUUCUAAUUGCACACUAUCAUUAACAUGAUCAAAGGUGAUUGAUUCUUAAAUGGUUAACAAUAUAAUACCUUCCAAAUUGAUGCUACUAUUUAAUGCAAACUGUAUUUUCCUUAAUAAAUUCCUUAUAUUUGACUAUAGAUUUGGAAUGCAUGUAUACCCUAUAUUAUAUUGCAGGAUGGAGGGAGUAAUGUGUUAGUUGCAUUUUUGCCAUUAACCAAGGUUCAUGUAUUUUGUUUUGGCCAGCCGGUUCACUAUUACCUACAAACUUUAUUCAUUCACUUUACUUUUAUUUGUUUUCAGUGGGUUUUGCAUGACUGGGGUGAUGGUGAUUGUAAAGAUACUAAAGAACUGUAAGAAAGCUAUACCUCCCAUGAUUGCAGAAGGAAAGAUGAUAAUUCUCGAUAUGGUUGUUGGAGGCCAGUUGCCAAACAUUAAGUACAAAGAUAUUCAUGUCUUGUUUGAUCUCUUCAUCAUGUAUGUCUCAUGUCUGUCAAUGGCGCUGAGCGAGACGAACAAAAGUGGAAAAACAUAAUUUUCGAAGCUGGAUUUAGCGACUACAAAACCAUACUCGUUCUAGGUGUUCGAUUCAUCAUUGAGGAUGGGAGAGUAUUGAAUGCUUCUCUAGAUACUAUUCUUGGUCCAUCAAAUCUGCUUGACCCAAAUGCAAGUUUUGCUCAAAUGUGGCAAAAAAUGAUUGUCUCACCAAUUGUGAGCACACCUGUUUUCAGCAAAGUUCCAGAGAAGAAAAAGACGGAAUGGAACUCAAAAUUUGGUGGCCGCUCAAGUGGAAUUCAUAUAUACUUAGUUAGGCUCAACGUUAGCUUAAAGCUUAAAUAGUUGAUGACCUAGUUUUUAACUAGUAAUUUUAGUUUGGAUUUAGAGUACACUUAUAUAUGAGUUAUUUGACAAUGAUUAUUUAUGAUAUACUUAAUGAUACUUAUUUAUAUUAUGUUAA